CUCCUUGACAAACUGAUGUGGAACUUCUUGAAAUUUUAAAAACCAAAAAAGCACGAAACUAAUUUUCCCUAGAGAAACCCAUAGAAUCUCUCUCUCUCUCUCUCGCACAUCUUCCUUCCUUCCUUCCUUCCUUCCUUCCUCCCAGAUUAAAACCCUUCCUUCUUUCCCUCAUCUUCGCCGUCGCUGAUAACCGAUCGAGCCCGUUGAACAUUGGUGGGGUGGGUAGAGUUAGAUACAGUCAAGCAGUCGAAGUACUCGUCGUCGCGUGUACCAAUUUCUUCCGGUUAUUCGCGUCGUCGUGAGUAAGGAACCAAUUUCUUUCGAUUGUCGCCCACCGGUAGUCGUCGUAGUCAUGUUUAAGGUACCUAUUUCUUCCGGUCUCGCCUAUCCUCAUUUGUCUUCAAUGAACACGCCCGGCUGCUUCAAUUGAUUUAAUUUAUACGCAAUCUUUCAUUCAUUAAUAGCCGUGAGGUUUGCUAUCUUGGAGAAUGCUUGACACAUAUUAUCACACCUUAUUUCUCCUAGAGUACUGACCAGACUGGCAUAUUUUAUUACGAUCCUCGUGUAUGGCUGAUUGACAUCCCUCCUCCACCUAUGUAGUAUAUACCCAUCUGGUAGUACGGUGACAUUGUUAUGGAUUAGUACUGCAAUUGCAUGCCUGCAAAUGAUCCCCCGAAACUCGAACAAAUGGUAGCUGCAAACGACCUCACAUUUCUCACUCUGGAAUGAGACAAAAAAUGUUUUCUUUUCACGUCGAUCAUUACAAAUGACAUCCUCUCGUAUCUCGUAAGUCGUCCCAAAACAUCCCUCCAAGGCAGAAAUAAGGUCGCAGUAAAUCUUACCGUAAACUCAGCUUGAACUUCUUUGAAUUUUGAAAAUGUGUAGACUGUUUGGAAUUGUUUUUCCAUUUCAUAUGUUGUUGCACACGGAAUCAUUUGUGAGAACGAAGUCAGUCUGGAACUUUUUUUCCACCUUGCACCUCAACGCUCGCUCAUACUGUUCAACGAAUUCUUCACAUGUACAUACCCACCGAAAAAUGAGUUCAUGCUUUCACUCCGCUGUAUUGUUGACAUUCC
rnacentral:lncRNA from 1 species